CAGCUCCAGUUUCUCUUCAUUAUGUAUAAAUCUUUCGCCUUUUACAAUAGAUUUCCAUGGAGGGGAGCCUUUGCGAGUUUUCUGUAAAUUUUGGGCCUCUGCUGCAAGUAGAGC